GAUGAACGCUGGCGGCGUGCCUAAUACAUGCAAGUCGAACGGACGACGAUCUUCGGAAAGUCGUUAGUGGCGACCGGGUGAGUAACACGUAGCUGAUCUACCUUCUACAGGGGGAUAACGUCCCGAAAGGGAUGCUAAUACCGCGUAAGCUCGGAGGACUUAGAACCUUCCGAGGAAAGCCUUAGGGCGGUAGAAGAGGAGGCUGCGUUCCAUCAGCUAGUUGGUGAGGUAAAGGCUCACCAAGGCGACGACGGAUCGGGGGCCUGAGAGGGUGACCCCCCACACUGGUACUGACACACGGACCAGACUCCUACGGGAGGCAGCAGUAAGGAAUAUUGCGCAAUGGACGAAAGUCUGACGCAGCAACGCCGCGUGCGGGAUGAAGGGCUUCGGCUCGUAAACCGCUUUUAUCAGGGAAGAGCAAGGACGGUACCUGAUGAAUAAGUCUCGGCUAACUACGUG
rnacentral:rRNA from 1 species